rnacentral:rRNA from 1 species
CCUACGGGCGGCAGCAGUGAGGAAUAUUGGUCAAUGGUCGGGAGCCUGAACCAGCCAAGUCGCGUGAAGGAUGAAUGUCCUGAGUGUUGUAAACUUCUUUUAUCAAGGAAUAAAGUGAGGCACGCGUGCCUUUUUGAGUGUACUUUAUGAAUAAGCAUCGGCUAACUCCGUGCCAGCAGCCGCGGUAAUACGGAGGAUCCGAGCGUUAUCCGGAUUUAUUGGGUUUAAAGGGUGCGUAGGCGGUGUGUUAAGUCAGGGGUCAAAUUGAGGGGCUCAACCCCUUCCCGCCGUUGAAACUGGCAGUCUUGAGUUGAAGAGAAGUAUGCGGAAUGCGUGGUGUAGCGGUGAAAUGCAUAGAUAUCGCGCAGAACCCCGAUUGCGAAGGCAGCAUGCCGGCUUCCGACUGACGCUGAAGCACGAAAGCGUGGGGAUCGAACAGGAUUAGAUACCCUUGUAGUC